UACGGAGGGGGCUAGCGUUGUUCGGAAUUACUGGGCGUAAAGCGCGCGUAGGCGGCUUAUCAAGUCGGGGGUGAAAGGCCUGGGCUCAACCUGGGAAUUGCCUCUGGGACUGUUAGGCUGGAGUGCGGGAGAGGGUGGUGGAAUUCCCAGUGUAGAGGUGAAAUUCGUAGAUAUUGGGAAGAACACCGGUGGCGAAGGCGGCCACCUGGACCGCUACUGACGCUGAUUUGCGCGAAAGCGUGGGGAGCAAACAGG
rnacentral:rRNA from 1 species